AAGCGUUAAUCGGAAUUACUGGGCGUAAAGCGCGCGUAGGCGGCUCUUUAAGUCGGAUGUGAAAGCCCCGGGCUCAACCUGGGAACUGCAUCCGAUACUGGAGGGCUAGAGUGUAGGAGAGGGAGGUAGAAUUCCAUGUGUAGCAGUGAAAUGCGUAGAUAUAUGGAGGAAUACCAGUGGCGAAGGCGGCCUCCUGGCUUAACACUGACGCUGAGGUGCGAAAGCGUGGGGAGCAAACGGGAUUAGAUACCCCGGUAGUCCACGCCGUAAACGAUGUCUACUAGCUGUAGGGGUACUUGAGACCUUUGUAGCGCAGCUAACGCACUAAGUAGACCGCCUGGGGAGUACGGCCGCAAGGUUAAAACUCAAAUGAAUUGACGGGGGCCCGCACAAGCAGUGGAGCAUGUGGUUUAAUUCGAUGCAACGCGAAGAACCUUACCAGGCCUUGACAUCCCCGGAACUUUCUAGAGAUAGAUUGGUGCCUUCGGGAACCGGGUGACAGGUGCUGCAUGGCU
rnacentral:rRNA from 1 species